rnacentral:rRNA from 1 species
UACGAGGGGGGCAAGCGUUGUUCGGAAUUAUUGGGCGUAAAGGGCGCGUAGGCGGUGCGGUAAGAGUGUUGUGAAAUCUUCGGGCUCAACUCGAAGUCUGCAACGCUGACUGCCGUGCUAGAGUAUGGGAGAGGGAAGUGGAAUUUCAGGUGUAGCGGUGAAAUGCGUAGAUAUCUGAAGGAACAUCAGUGGCGAAAGCGACUUCCUGGACCAAUACUGACGCUCAUGUGCGAAAGCGUGGGGAGCAAACAGG